UACGUAGGGUCCGAGCGUUGUCCGGAAUUACUGGGCGUAAAGAGCUCGUAGGUGGUUUGUCGCGUUGUCCGUGAAAACUCACAGCUCAACUGUGGGCGUGCGGGCGAUACGGGCAGACUGGAGUACUGCAGGGGAGACUGGAAUUCCUGGUGUAGCGGUGGAAUGCGCAGAUAUCAGGAGGAACACCGGUGGCGAAGGCGGGUCUCUGGGCAGUAACUGACGCUGAGGAGCGAACGCGUGGGGAGCGAACAGG
rnacentral:rRNA from 1 species